rnacentral:lncRNA from 1 species
UUCCUCUCAUCAACAACAGGGAUCUCACUCUCCUUCCUCUGCCAUACCUGGCCCUCCCUCUGCUCUUCCAUUAGUUUUUCUUUUUCUCGUGGAGUAAUAUUAAAUGCUCGCAUCUCCCACUCAAGAAAGAAAGGAACCGUUACUUUCAAGAGAGAGAAAACAAACAACUCUCCACUGUAAAUUCCUCUCCUCAGCCUCUCCAUAUAAUAACAGUAGCAAUUUAUAGACGUAAUGCAUCACUGUUUGAUUUUAUUUUAUUUCUAAUUUGUUUGUCGUUGUGUUUUCUUUUUCUUUUUGGUGGAUAAGGUUUAGUUGUGCUUGGAAUCGGGGGAAAUGGGGCUGAUUUCAGGG